GAAGCAAGAUGGCGGCCGCCGAGAGGGUUCACAAAGGGUAGGGUGGUGUGGAGCAAGGCAGGGUCCUCGCAGGCAGUGCCAAGAUUGAGCUGGGGGUGGGCAGAGUGGGCGGGGUGCGGACCCAUGGCCCUACGCAUCCUGGGCCAGGUCUCUUGUGGUGCUUCACGCUCUCGACCUGUGAGUGGUGCCUGCUAGAGCUGCCCAGAUCCCUUUUCCCUACCCCUUCUGACCCUGGACCCAGAGUGGUGGUUGCGAUCUGCUACCGUGACGUCAGCCCUCAUUCGUUCGUUCCACAAACUCCACAGCUCUGGUCCAUUAGAGGAAGGAGGUCCCAGAAUAGCUGGGAAAUUACGAGAACAGCCUCACUGCACGAGUUGGUGAAUGCUGUGAUGGCGAUUGUAUGAUGGACGGUGAUGUUGAAACCAGACUGGGGAAUGACCGCCCCAUCCGGAGAGAAAAGCACCAAGGAUUCUCUUUUGUUGAAUUUGAGUUGGCAGAGUUUGGUCAGAUGAAGACUGGGUGGAGAAGUUUGCUGGGAAGAGGAUAAAGAGGAAGGUGGUUGAGACUUCCCAAAGCAGAAAGCCAGGAGCGCAGCCCAUUUACUGCCUUCUCCAGGAAGCUUUUCUGAAUCCUCCAGUGAGUAAGGGAGAGCCCACUGCUAAAAAAGGCCUAGUCAAAUCCUCAGGUGUACAUGGACAUCAAGAUUGGGAACAAGCCGGCUGGCUGCAUCCAAACCCUCCUGCGUUCCGACGUCGUGCCCAUGACCACAGAGAAUUUUCUCUACAUGUGCACCCAUUUAAAGGACUCGGCUUCAAGGGAAGCAGCUUCCACCGCAUUAUCCCCCAGUUCAUUUGCCAGGGCAGUGAUUUCACAAACCACGGUGGCACCAGGGGUCUGCGCAGGCAUGGCACUAAGUGUCCCAUGGCACAUUUGGCCCUCAUGGAGGCCUCAAAAGGGCAGGACCAGCACCCUCUUCUACGGAGGAAGGAACGGGCACAGCAGAAACAAGGAGAGUCAGCAAUUACCAGCCAGCCAAGGUCCUGGAAGCUGACGUAGAGCUCGUGCCGACGGCAGACCUGCCGGCCGUGGGAGCCGCGGACGUCAUCUGCAGGGACAGAAGGGGCAAGGUCUUUUCUGGGGUUCCUGCUGUGUGCAGCUACUAUGGGGUACCAGGGUGGGGGAUGCCCUGAUGAGCACAUUUGUCAAAUAAAUGAAUGACAGGAAACCA
ensembl:lncRNA PPIEL peptidylprolyl isomerase E like (pseudogene)